GUUUUGUGAUGAUCCCCAUGCGUGUCAACUGAUCCCAGACUCCCUGCAGUGCUCAGUGUCUGAUAAGCGUUUUUGCUUAUCUGUGCAUUUGAGCCUGUCGGACUCUGGGAACAUGAUCUUGACUUUAGUCUGAAAAC
rnacentral:snoRNA from 1 species